rnacentral:tRNA from 1 species
GGGGAUUUAGCUCAGCGGUAGAGCGCUUGCCUGGCAAGCACAAGGCCCUGGGUUCGGUCCCCAGCUCCG